rnacentral:lncRNA from 1 species
GACGAUCUCAGGUCUAAGGGACACUUAUAUUUAUAUCCCAUCAGAGAUAUUUUCGACAGUAGAAUGCUCUGGAAUUGGUCAUGUUCAAUGAUGAUGUAUCCUUACAUCUCACCUGUAUGUCAUACCAGUGUCUCCAUACUCUUUGGUUAAGAGGACAACCAACUCAUAUGGCCUACAGCGACCUAUGCUCGAUAGAAGCUGUCAUCCUUAUUAACAGCCUAUCAUU